rnacentral:lncRNA from 1 species
CUGCAGGUGGAGAAUGAUACUCUAGGAGGAUCUCUGGGAGCAGUUGGGUGACACCUGUUGCUUUGGAACCUAAGAAAAGGGCAAUGAAGUCAGAACCGAAGGAAAUAUGUGUAGAAGUCUGACUUGUUCCUUUUGUAUUUUAAUAAGAUAGAGAUGAGGCCGUUUGUGUCCAUGGGCUUUGUGUGCUGUGUUUGUAACCAUUUUUUUUUUUCUUGCUCUGGUGUUUAAUGGUUAUCUUUCCAGAAGACCAGCUUUUCCUGUCUAUGUCAGAGCAAACAUCAAAGCCUUGGUCUUUGACUUGGGAAUGCAAGAGUCUUAUUAGGUCCAGGCACUGACUAAGAUGCGAGGUAUCUGGUGAGACUCCCUCAUGCUCACUACUUGAACAUAGUUGUUUCUCUGAGAUGGUCUCAGAAUCUUCAGUCCCACGCUCCAUAUGCCGCAUCCAGCAAAACUCCCUGAGGGACUCACAGUCUCCAACCACCAGGGCACUGACAUUAACUCUAUGUCCUUUUAGGUCUCCCUAAGGACAGCCUGAGUUUAAAAUCUCUACCACCAAGUGAGGAAGACAAUGACGAUGCCCAGAUUUUACCAUCACGUGUGCAGGGAGAAGUGAGUGCAGCUCUCAGUGACUUAUCGUGAUGGUGGUGAUUCUAAAGAGUGGAUUCUGGAGAAUCUCAGCAGGGAAGAGGAUGCCUUUCCAGGUUCUUCUGAGGACAACCUGAGUUUAGUAAGCCUACCACAAAGUGAAGAUGAAGAUUUGGAUGAUGAUGAUGAUGCCCAGAUUUUACCAUCACCUGUGCAGGCUCAUCCUGAGGACGACCUGUUUUUAAGAUGCUCACCACAACAUAAAGAUGAAGAUGAUAAUGAUGAUGGUGAUGUCCAGAUAACAGCUUGGAAUGAAAAUGACUUGACACUGGAGAGUAUAAGUGACGAGGAGACUCAUCCAGGGUGA